rnacentral:rRNA from 1 species
AUGAGUGCCCUUUGCUGGAACUGCCGUGGAGCGGGCAAACCCGCGGCAGCCCGAGAACUUCGCGAAUUUACGAGGAAGUAUGCCCCUACCCUACUCUGUAUUGUGGAGACACAUAUUGAAGGCUCUAGGGUAGAAGCUUUAGCUAGUUCUAUUGGUUUUGAUAAUGCUUAUGCAGUUGAUAGUCAAGGUAGGAGUGGUGGUAUCGGUUUGUUUUGGAACAAUGAAAUAAAAGUUGAAAUUCUUGGUUACUCUGUUUACCACCUUGAUGUAUCUGAAGAGGAGCAGGGAGAGGAUAAGUGGAGACUAACGUGUGUUUAUGGCGAGGCGCAGACGCACUUACGACACCAAACAUGGACAAUUUUUAAGAACAUCAGUACAACAAGCAACUUACCCUGGCUUUGUCUUGGUGAUUUUAAUGAAGUUUUACGUCUGGAAGAGCACGAGGGAGUUGGUCAACGCAGCAACGCACAGAUUCAGGCAUUCAGAGACACAAUUGAUGUUUGCAUGUUACUAGACUUGGGCUAUACGGGCCGUUUUUGGACCUUCGAGAAGGUCACUGGAGGUACAUACACACGAUGCCGACUGGACAGGGCGUUGGUCAGCACGGAUUGGAUGGCAAGGUUUCCACUAGCAGCUGUCACCCAUGAGAUAGCUGCUUCUUCAGACCACUCGGCACUGUUGGUUGAUAUGGGGCGAAUGAAAAAGCAACACAAAAAAUCGGAGUUCCGUUAUGAAGUAAUGUGGGAGACACAUGAGGGGCUCCAUGAUGGAUGCAGCGGAGCCUUGCCUGACAGUUGA